AGGGUUGUAGCUCACUGGCAGAGCAUCUGCUUUGCAUGCAGAAGGUCUCAAAUUCAAUCCCUCACAUCUCCA